UGGGGUAUCGUCUAGUGGUAGGACGCGCGGCUCUGGACCGUGAAGCGGUGGUUCGAAUCCAUCUACCCCAGCCA
rnacentral:tRNA from 2 species